rnacentral:sRNA from 14 species
CUAAGAUAGGUUGGGCCUGGUUAGCACUUGGAUGGGAGACCGCCUAGGAAUACCAGGUGCUGUAAGCC